rnacentral:rRNA from 1 species
GUGUCUUGAUGCGCGAGCGUGAGUCGUGCGACGCGUGCAUUGCGGCUUGCCGUUGUGUGCGUGCUCCUUCUUGCGUGACCGGGUAUCGAGCGCGUGCACUCUUCCCCCAGUAGAACGUCGCGAUCCGUUGAGUGCUGGUCUAAGGCCUGCGGUGGAGCCCGUGUUGCUCGCUUUGCGGCGAGUGGCGCGGACCCGUGGUGUUCCCGACCAGCUCGCUCGACGGUAGCAUAGUAUGCAGCGUAGAGCCGCACACAUUUUGAAGUGCGUUCAGCCCGUCGCAAGCACGUCCGCCCGAUAAGUUGGUGUGACGGACACAAAGUGCCGUCCCCAGCCACGGACGACUGUUGGCGUGCGGUGUCUUUGAACAGACUCUCACACGCUCAUCUGCGGCGCUAUAGCUUUGGGUACGUUCAGGACCCGUCUUGAAACACGGACCAAGGAGUCUAGCAUGUGCGCGAGUCAUUGAGUAAAACGAAACUCAAAGGCGCAAUGAAAGUAAAAGCUGGCCUUGCGCCAGCCGAGGGAAGAUGAGCAAACGUACAAACACGCGUGCUCCGCACUCCCGGGGCGUCUCACGCUUUCUCGCGUCGCUUGCGGCGCGCGAGCGGAGGCGCACCUAGAGCGUACACGCUGGGACCCGAAAGAUGGUGAACUAUGCUUGGUCAGGACGAAGUCAGGGGAAACCCUGAUGGAGGUCCGUAGC